AAACUAGAUAUGACUUAGUGGCGGACGGGUGAGUAACACGUGAGCAACCUGCCUUUCAGAGGGGGAUAACGGCUGGAAACGGUCGCUAAUACCGCAUGAUGUGUUCGGAUGGCAUCAUCUGAACAUCAAAGAUUUAUCGCUGUGGGAUGGGCUCAUGUCUGAUUAGUUAGUUGGUGGGGUAACGGCCUACCAAGUCUACGAUCAGUAGCCGGACUGAGAGGUUGAACGGCCACAUUGGGACUGAGAUACGGCCCAGACUCC
rnacentral:rRNA from 1 species